rnacentral:lncRNA from 1 species
AGCACCAACACUGCCACCUUCUCUUGUCCAUGUGGAAAGAAAGUUGCUUUCAGUUACUUGGAUCAAGAGUGUCUCCUGCUGACCACAUUCAGAAUAUAUAUUAAAUACUGCCAUGAGAGACCACUGUUGGAAUAUACAGUGUUGUAACAUUCUGCUAGGUGUGAUUUAUUUUAUUUUUUUUUAAUAUUCCUUCCUUCCUUCCUUUCUUUUUAUAGAGCCUAAACAAUUUGAAGACCUUCCAUGAUGUUUUAUUAGCAAAGGUGAUGAACUGAAAGUACGUCUUCAAGAGGAGCAGUUAAAGUGCCUCCAUCUUCAGAACGAAUUGCAAUCAGUAACUAUUUCAAAGAGAAGGAACAAAGAGCAUGUGGUACAGGAGGUUAAACAAGAAAGGCUACCAGAUAAGGUGAAGGAGAUGGCUGAAGAAAUUCAACAGGAGAAAGAAGAGCUCUCACAUCUGUCAGAGGAGUAGUUAGCUGACCAAACACCAAUUACUUCUGGAGACGAGACAAAAAUAACUGAAGAAUUGGAACCAGAAGGUAGAAUUCAUUUGUAUGAAUAAGUAACUGUAUUUUCUUAAUAAUUCUAUGUCUCUUUCCAUUUUCUUAAGCAUUUCUUACUAGCAGUAGGAGCUGCCUCAUUAUGAGAAGCUUCAUGACAGAAAUUAUAUUCUGGUGUACUUCAUAGCUGAAGCUGCGUGGUGGAUAUGGUGGUGUUAUUUUCUUCCCAAAUGGAAACUGUAUUGUAAUUGAAUGCAAAAAUCUGGUAUCUGACCUAGAUUCAUAAAAUAUUAAAGGAAACCUGGCUUCUAUUUUAAAUGUCUUUAUAUUCUCCCUUAGAACUAUGCUGUUCUAAAGACUAUUUUAAUGAAUGUGCUCCUUUUGUCUGCAGAUAACAGCCAAUACUGAUAUCAGAAAUCCUUUCAGACAGUGAGAGGGGUAGUAUGUCUUAUCAUAUUUGUGACAUAAAGUUGUUAGAGGCAGAUUUAUUUAAAGAUUAUAAGAGCUGGGUCAUCCUGUUCCACCUCCGAGCUUAGACUGUUUAUCAUUGAAAUAAACCAAGUCCACAAUGCCA